CACCAUUGUAUUGGAAGCCUGUGCAUUCUGUUGAGUAAGCGCAUAAACUCUUCCCUGGGUUUUAGAAAUCUAUCCACCACCCUUAUGUUGUCUUUCAUAAGUUCUUUGGCUAACUUGAUUUUCAGUAUUUAGCGGGCAGCUAGCAAUUUUAUGAUCCAUCUGACCACAUUUGAAACAAGCACCUGUAUUCCAAUGGCAAUCCUUGUCUGCAUGAUUUUGCCAUAUCUGGAGCACUGUUCACCAUCAAUCUGUUGAGUCUUAUUAUCUAUUGCUCCCUUAGCUGAACUUUUGAUGUUUUUAUUAUUCUGCCCUUGUGUAUCAUUUGAUUUUGCUCUCUUUCUUUGCUUUCUUUCCCUUUCCAUACGUUCUUCAUUGACUUCUCUUUCAAUUAUCAGUGCUUUGUUCACCACAUCUGCAUAAGUUGUCAAUU
rnacentral:lncRNA from 1 species